GGCGGANGUAGCCAAGUGGAUCA
rnacentral:tRNA from 1 species